rnacentral:rRNA from 1 species
UACGUAGGGGGCUAGCGUUGUCCGGAUUUAUUGGGCGUAAAGAGCGUGUAGGCGGCCAUGUAGGUCCGGUGUGAAAACUCGAGGCUUAACCUCGAGAUGUCAUCGGAAACCAUUUGGCUAGAGUCCGGAAGAGGAGAGUGGAAUUCCUGGUGUAGCGGUGAAAUGCGCAGAUAUCAGGAGGAACACCGGUGGCGAAGGCGGGAUCCUGGGCCAGUACUGACGCUGAGGAGCGAAAGCGUGGGGAGCAAACAGG